AGACUAGUGAACAUCUGUCAACUUUAAACUUCUUUAAAUUAUUAGGUAUCAUUAUACAAUAGCUUGCAGAGUAACAUCACUUGCGGACACGGAUUCGGAAGAAGCGCUGCGACGCCAGAUUCCAUAAAUUUGACGUCUAUUGAUUCCUUCUUCGGAUCAGAAUGAUUGUAUUCCUAAAUUAAUUUAUAUUUAUAAAACACUGAACUGAAAAGAAAUAAGUAAAGAAGAACCCACGACUUUGUGUUUUCCAUUUAACCAAAUAAACAUUUGGAGGAAAAGUACAUAAA